UGUGGUGAAAACUUAAUCCCUCUUAUUAUAUAGUAAGUAGAUGGAUAAUGGCCCGUGCCAAGCACGGGCCCAACAUGUUUGGAAGGUAUUUCAUGUUUUUAGCACUUGAAUUAAAAUUUAUAAAGCUCUACAGAGCAUAUAAUCAUAUAGAUACAGAGUCAAAUACAUAAUCGGUUAUUUCGCAAUACUUUAGUCAAGCCAAGAAAUCUUAAUACAUCUCAUCUCCUUGAACACUAUAUUUAACACAAGGAGCUCUCCCAAAAUCUGCUGCCAUUGUCAUCUUCCUCACCCUCUUCAGUUCCUUUAUGAACUUGCAUCCCCUAGUAAAGCAGGUCCUUGGAGAACUUGACAUCACUCAACUCUAUGCAAAUUAAUCUCACUUUUGCUUGAGUAGUGGAUUAAUCUAAAAACACCAUUAGGUGAAGAAAAUAUAUCUAAAAACACCAUUAAAAGGAGAAUGAAUCAGAGAUGAUGUAACUUAACUAAAACAUUUCAACAAAGUAAUCACACUCUCUUGGCAUGAAUUGAACGACAAAUAACUCGCACCAAUAGCCCCGUAUAUAGGCAAUAACACAGAUGAAUGGAUAUAAAAAACUGAUUGCUACAUAGAACGACAAAAAAAAGGAUUUCAAGAACUUAAAGGUUAUGACCAAUGCUCCAAAAUAUUGGCUUAUAAUUAUAAUGAGAUUGAUAUUGGUUUUUCGGAAUAUACUGAAUAUUCAAGAUCUCAUAACAAGAAAAUAAAACUGAUAAGCACUUAGCAGCUAGUCAAACAAAAGAACUGCCACCCUGACUUCUUCCCUAGAAAUACCAAAAUGUACGCAAGUAAUGUAUCGGUAAAUCAGUUGAAACCUAUAAGUCAGACCUUUUUUAGAAAGGAUUGUAGUUAUACAAAAUGUUGCUAUGUCUAAUAAUUAAGAAAUAAUAUUCUAAAAGCAUAUAUAUGGUACAACAAUAUACAUGCACGCUAUUGUGAAGAGGAAAGAGCGAUUAAUUUUGAAGGUACUUGAACAACACUAAAAUAAGCUUGAGAAGCAGUGAGUAUCUUCGAGUUUGGUGAAUCAUAACCCGCAUAGAAUACCAGAAAUAAGAGAUUGUAUUCCGAAAAGAGAAAAAGUUAAUUGGUACACAGCAAUACGCUAAAUAAUGAAAUCAUAAGGUACAAACAUACAACUGUCCAAUAAGGACAUAAACAUAACUAUAACAUAAAAACUCCCAUAGUAGCUAUGUGAGGACUCAACAAAAUUAUCUGAAUAGAAACUGUGUUAUUCAACCUGCUAUAUCUUAAUCUUUGCUCUUUAUUUUCUCAUAUGAAAGCAAGUAGAGAAAAAAGAAAUGUUUUUUUUUGUUUUCCAUCGAUAUUUAAGUACUCACUUCAUAAAUGACUACACUUUGUAGAUUAAUACCAAUGCAGCCAUUAUUUACGUCCAUGGAGUUUUGUAUAGUUUAGCGUAAAUAUGAAUAAAGAUAGAAAAGAGAAGCUCGUUGAGGCGCGUACCAUUUAUAUCACUGGAUUACAAAUGUGAUCAAAUUAUCUCAAAUCAUCAACUUCUUCAAACAUGGAUACUUGCGACAAAUAUAGAAGCUUAAUCUGCAAGGUCAUACAAAGAGUGUUGAUAAGUUAAUUCUGGACUUGGCUGUUAUACAAGCAAAUUGUUGAUAGAGUUACUUUGUUAUUUUUUAUUUCAUC
rnacentral:lncRNA from 1 species